UACGUAGGGUGCAGGCGUUAAUCGGAAUUACUGGGCGUAAAGCGUGCGCAGGCGGUUUCUUAAGUCAGAUGUGAAAGCCCCGGGCUUAACCUGGGAACUGCGUUUGAAACUGGGAGACUUGAGUGUGGCAGGAGGGGGGUAGAAUUCCGACGUGUAGCAGUGAAAUGCGUAGAGAUGUGGAGGAACACCAACGGCGAAGGCAGCGCUCUGGGCCGGUACUGACGCUGAGACGCGAAAGCGUGGGGAGCGAACAGG
rnacentral:rRNA from 1 species